rnacentral:rRNA from 1 species
GAUGAACGCUGGCGGCGUGCCUAAUACAUGCAAGUCGAGCGAACGGACGAGAAGCUUGCUUCUCUGAUGUUAGCGGCGGACGGGUGAGUAACACGUGGAUAACCUACCUAUAAGACUGGGAUAACUUCGGGAAACCGGAGCUAAUACCGGAUAAUAUUUUGAACCGCAUGGUUCAAAAGUGAAAGACGGUCUUGCUGUCACUUAUAGAUGGAUCCGCGCUGCAUUAGUUAGUUGGUAAGGUAACGGCUUACCAAGGCAACGAUGCAUAUCCGACCUGAGAGGGUGAUCGGCCACACUGGAACUGAGACACGGUCCAGACUCCUACGGGAGGCAGCAGUAGGGAAUCUUCCGCAAUGGGCGAAAGCCUGACGGAGCAACGCCGCGUGAGUGAUGAAGGUCUUCGGAUCGUAAAACUCUGUUAUUAGGGAAGAACAUAUGUGUAAGUAACUGUGCACAUCUUGACGGUACCUAAUCAGAAAGCCACGGCUAACUACGUG